GCCAAUCGCAUUUUGAGGAUAAAUAAAUCUAAAACAAUCUAUUGAUUAUGAUGAAUGGAUGUCCUAUUUUUUUAUCCAUGAAGAAAAUAAUAACAUCUCGGCGACCAUCCAAGCUGUUGCUGAUCAGAUCAUCCAGUAAGUUAAACUGCUAAUAGAGAUAACUUCAAUUCAAUGUUGUUGCCAGAUAAUGCUGUGAGUGAAGAAACUGUAUCCUGCCAUCUACAUCAGAGCCACAUCUGUCAUUAUGGAUAAUAUUAUUGCUGCGUCCUAAGGUUCAGCUUGCAAAUAAACCCAUCAAGCAGAGGCGGUACACACAAACAAAAGGUGGACUCUUUGGUUUUUUAAAACGGAGCCCGAAAGCGUAUGAGCUAUUGCGCUACAUAUUUAUUUUGCCUAGUCAACGAUCAAGAAAAUGAAGGUAUUGAGUGAAAAAACUGCCGCAAUGAUACAGCCCCAAAUUUGAUUCCGGCCCAGUGUAUGGUUUUUUCAACUAAAGUUUUUUGUUAUUUUUGCCUCAAGAAUGUACUUAUUGUGAAUUUCUUUGUUAAUGGCUGUAUAGUUUUACUUGAGUCAAAGAAAAUCGUAGUUUUUGUAUAAACAAAUAAUUUGUAAAUCUAUAUUAGGGUACAUUUUAUUGUCGUCUUUUUUUUUCUUAGAAACUUGCAGUAGAUUAUUGAUGAUUAAACGAA